rnacentral:tRNA from 4 species
GCGGUCGUGGCGGAAUUGGCAGACGCACUAGCUUGAGGUGCUAGCGGGAGCAAUCCCGUGGAGGUUCAAGUCCUCUCGACCGCACCA